rnacentral:rRNA from 1 species
CAUAACCUUUAGCUAAACCAGUAUUAAAGGCAACGCCUGCCCAGUGAAUAAUUCAACGGCCGCGGUACCCUAACCGUGCAAAGGUAGCGUAAUCACUUGUCUAUUAAUUGUAGACCCGUAUGAAAGGCAUAAUGAGGGUCUAACUGUCUCUUUUAGUAAAUCAAUUAAACUGAUCUCCUAGUCCAAAAGCUAGGAUACUAACAUAAGACCAGAAGACCCUGUGAAACUUUAACUAAAUUAUUAAACCUCAUAAUAACUCCUUUAGGUUGGGGCGACCUUGGAAAAAAAAAGAACUUCCAAACACAUAUUACAUAAUAAUACAAUACAAGGCCUACAAGCCUAUCACGACCCAGCACAGCUGAUAAAUGAACCAAGCUACUCCAGGGAUAACAGCGCUAUCUUCUUCAAGAGCCCAUAUCAAAAAGAAGGUUUACGACCUCGAUGUUGGAUCAGGACAUCCUAAUGGUGCAACCGCUAUUAAGGGUUCGUUUGUUCAACGAUUAACAGUCCUACGUGAUCUG